CACGUUUCUUUACUAGCUUCAUUUGUAGAUCGACCUUGGCCGUGUAAAUGGAAUAUCACGGUAAGCUCCAUCCAAUUUCCCCCACAGCUUCGUCACCGCUCCGUUGUUGGUUAGUCGUUGCUGCACAUUAGCUAGAACUAUAUAUAGGAUAAGAAUAAGAAUAUAUGUAGUGGGAUUUGAUCUACUACUAAAAACACUACACGCGCGCUCUUUGCAAAAAGCUAGCGGUACGGUACGUCACGCAGAAGCUAAAAUUGUUAAUUACACUACGACGUCGUGCCAUUUGCAUCUACUAGCUUAGCACACAGAACGCCGUGUUACCAGGUCUCGCGCACCGAAUGCGAUCCCGGAGAAAUUUUCACAUUGCGCACGCACCAGGGUUACACAUAGUUUGAUUUUUUUUUUAGAUAAAUGUCAGGUGUUUUUUUUUUGUGAGCAGGUUUGAUGUCAGUUUGUUAAUCCGGACACAGAUAGCUACUUCUAGUAUAAGGUCAGUCUCAAUAGAGAUUUUAUAGAAGUUUCAUGCACAUUAAAUAUUCUGACAUGACAUUAUAUUGAUAAAGAGAGAGAUGGUAAGAGUUUUAUAAAACUAUAGAGACAAUUUUAUAGAGAUAAAACUCUUCUACAAUGUUUUUAAAAUAUAAGUGUUUUGAAAACUGGACAAUGAAACCUCCAGUGAGACUUCCUAAGAAACGUAACCAACUGAUGAUCUAGGCUCAGUUCACUCACUACUUCCAGGCAGAGCCAAUUAUUAGCCAAAGCACGAUGGGAAAAAGAAUAUAAGAAAACAGGUUUCAUGCUGCCAUGGUUGGAUCUGGGUCUUAUUAUUUGCCAUGAAAAAAUACCGACCAAUCUCUGAUGAUACGUAUACCACCAGCGUCUAAUAACUAUCUAAUAAACGAGACAUAUAUGGGAUACACCAUGGUCACUGGCUGGCACAUUUCUUAGAAAAAAAGAAUUUUUUAUUACGAUUAUUUCUACAUAAGUCAUAGCAGUUACCAUCCCUUAUUUACAAGUCCAGCCCCCUGCAGACAUUACUGGAAAUUAAGAUUCUCUUGUCGGUGCUAGGCAAACUGACAAGAAAAUUAUGACUUUUUCUGUUGGUUUCUAGACAUCGAUAGAAAAAUACGAAAACCGACAGAGUAUAUCAUUUUUUUGUUGAUUUAUAUGCUACCGACAGAAAAAUAUUUAAUUUCCUUGUGUGUCUAGAUCUCACCGAUAGAAAAAUACAGUUCGCCCAGGUUUGCGGACUGAAUCAUGCAGCCAACUUGGGCCUGGGCUACGUUGGCCUUUCAGCCAGCCCAAGAAUGUGCACCUUGUUCCGAGGACAUAUAAACCAGCGUCCCCAAACCCUAGCGCACAAACUCCGUGACUCCAUUGCAUUCUUUGCCGCCUGUUCACUGUUCUGGCACUUUGUAGGCGGCAGUGCUUUCCCUUCCUCGGUCCCC
rnacentral:lncRNA from 1 species